AUGGCCAUACCAUCCUGAACACACCCGAUCUCGCCUAACUUCAGAAGCUAAGCAGGGUGGGGCCUGGUUAGUACUUGGAUGGGAGAACUAAAAGGGAAUAUAGUUUGUACAGCAUC
rnacentral:rRNA from 1 species